UACGAGGGGGGCGAGCGUUGUUCGGAAUUAUUGGGCGUAAAGGGUGCGUAGGCGGUUUGGUAAGUCUUGUGUGAAAUCUCCAGGCUCAACUUGGAGUCUGCACGAGAAACUGCCGGGCUUGAGUGUGGGAGAGGUGAGUGGAAUUCCUGGUGUAGCGGUGAAAUGCGUAGAUAUCAGGAGGAACACCUGUGGCGAAAGCGGCUCACUGGACUACAACUGACGCUGAUGCACGAAAGCUAGGGGAGCAAACAGG
rnacentral:rRNA from 1 species